GCCGCCUUAGCUCAGUCGGCCAGAGCAACGCACUCGUAAUGCGUAGGUCGUCGGUUCGAUUCCGACAGGCGGCU
rnacentral:tRNA from 1 species